GCCCCCAUCGUCUAGUGUGGUUCAGGACAUCUCUCUUUCAAGGAGGCAGCGGGGAUUCGACUUCCCCUGGGGGUA
rnacentral:tRNA from 1 species